UUUUGGACAAUGGGCGAAAGCCUGAUCCAGCAAUGCCGCGUGUGGGAAGAAGGCCUUCGGGUUGUAAACCACUUUUGUACGGAACGAAAAAGUCUGCCCUAAUACGGUGGGCUCAUGACGGUACCGUAAGAAUAAGCACCGGCUAACUACGUGCCAGCAGCCGCGGUAAUACGUAGGGUGCGAGCGUUAAUCGGAAUUACUGGGCGUAAAGCGUGCGCAGGCGGUUAUAUAAGACAGUUGUGAAAUCCCCGGGCUCAACCUGGGAAUUGCAUCUGUGACUGUAUAGCUAGAGUACGGUAGAGGGGGAUGGAAUUCCGCGUGUAGCAGUGAAAUGCGUAGAUAUGCGGAGGAACACCGAUGGCGAAGGCAAUCCCCUGGACCUGUACUGACGCUCAUGCACGAAA
rnacentral:rRNA from 1 species